UUGAAGUAUCAUAAACAGUGGUGUGUUAGUUUCAGGGAUACAGUGUAAUGAUUCAAAAAUUCUAUGCAUUACUGUGGUCACUAUGAUGAGUGUAGUCACGAUCUGUCACCAGACAAUAUUACCGUAAUCGUAUUGGCCGUAUUCUCAACGCUGUACUUUUCACCUCCCUGAUGUAAUCUUAUACCUGGAAAUUUGUACCCCUUUAUCUAUUUCACUUAUUCUCCUGCCCACCUCCCCCUGGCAACCACAAGUUUGUUCUUUGCAACUUGGUGUAUUUAAAAGUUUGCUUUUUUGUUGUUUCUUUGUUUUGUUUUGAGAUUCCACAUAUAAGUGAAAGCAUAUGGUAUUUGUCUUUGAAUUAUGUCCUCUAGGUCCAUCCACGUUGUCACGAAUGGCGAGGUCUCAUUUUUUUCUGGCUGAGUAAUAGUCCUUUGUAUGUACAUAGUACAUCUUCUUUAUUUGUUCAUCUGUUGAUGGACGCCUGGGUUGCUUCCAUAUAUGGGCUACUCUGAAUAAUGCUGCCAUAAACAUAGGCGCGGAUAUACCUUUUCAGAUUAGCUUCCAGAAGCACACCUGACUGACAGAUUGCUGUUGGAGCUUCCGGAACAGGCUGAACUAGAACCUCCUGUUCACAACAGUGUGGUUUUGUCCCCCUUUGCUUUUUCUCAGAGACUGACCUCCCGAGUUCGGAUCCGUCUCUGGGCUUACACAGCCUUGUAGUCAGUGCCUUCAAAUUACUGGCUGAUUUGUAUUUUCUUUUGUCUUUUUCCUAUCUGGCUCCAUCCAGCACCAUUCCAGCUCUAGUAAUGAACAGUCUUGCGUUCCGCUUCCUGAGUAUCUGUCCUGAGGAAAAGCCACUGUAAGGCGGUUUUUUAGCUAAUUUAGUCAUGUUUAUCAUACACUGUUAGAUGUAUAGAAGGUGGGGUUGAGUUUUGUACAGACAGUGCAGCUAAAUCAUUCCUUCAACAACUGUUUGACUACCGUGUGCCAGAGAAGCUUCCGAAUUCCAAAUGCCACAGUGUGUGUUUUGGGUGGGGUUUUUUUUGGGGGGGGUCUCCCCAAAAUUCAUGUGAAAGCUUUACUGAAGUAAACCCUCAGCGUGGGUGUAUUUGGAGUAAGGAAGUCAAUCGGGUUAAAUGAGGUCACAGGGAUGGGGCCCUGAUGCAGUGGGAUUAGUGUCCUCACCGGAAGGGAGCUCACCCCCCUCGCCCUUCUGCGCAGGGACACGAUGAGAAGGCGACGUCCACAAACCAAGAAGAGAGCUCUUACCAGAAACUGAAUCAGCUGGCCCCUCGACCUUGGACUUCUCAACCUCCAGAACUGAGGAAAUAAAUCUCUGUUGUUCAAGCGCCCAGUGGUGUUUUGUUUUGGCAGAUUGGCAUAACAAGACCCCUCCCCCCCGCCAAACACCCUUUGCAGUUCAAGUGUUUUAUUGAAGCAGUUAGGUUAGCUGCUCAGGGACAGCCUUGGCCUUGGAGGUGAUGCCACAGGUCUUAGAUUCAGAAAUUCAAUUUUCAAGUAUGUCAAUUCAGUUUUAACAAUAUAGCCAAGGACUAGUAAGAAUAGGAAAAAGCAGUCUGUUCCAAGCAACUCAAAGGUUGUUUAUAAGCGAGAAAUGCAAUAAGUUCAUUGACAA